UACGUAGGUGGCAAGCGUUGUCCGGAAUUAUUGGGCGUAAAGCGCGCGCAGGUGGUUUCUUAAGUCUGAUGUGAAAGCCCACGGCUCAACCGUGGAGGGUCAUUGGAAACUGGGGAACUUGAGUGCAGGAGAGAAGAGUGGAAUUCCACGUGUAGCGGUGAAAUGCGUAGAGAUGUGGAGGAACACCAGUGGCGAAGGCGGCAUCCUGGACCAACACUGACACUGAGGAGCGAAAGCCAGGGGAGCAAACGGG
rnacentral:rRNA from 1 species